UGAAAUUCAUGGCACGGGAUGGCUUGGGCCAUCAUCACUGCUGAAGUAACAAGGUCUUUCUUCCUGCACAUCUUUUCUCUUGCUCUCAAUUACACUGUUCACCCUGCACCAAUCUGCACACAUGUCAUGGUUUUGUGAUUUUUGGUUAUUGGUAUUCCACAUCAUAACAUCAUGUAGUGGACAUACCUAGUUCUCAGAAGAGAAGGACUACUACAGUCCCCACGGUACUUUGCUCCUUUGUUACCAUUUUCCAGCCGGAGGGAAAAGAUAGAAGCUCGCAGUAUAAAAACUUGCAGAUCACGAGACCUCGUCCCUUUUUCCGCCGUCUCUCGUCUUGGCAGCACCUCGCUCUCCAGCCGUCUUAUCGUCGGUAGUAGAGUAAGGCCUACCUUGAUUUUGGGACAUUCUCUCUCUCUGUGUUGGAUUUAUCAGCUUAAAUUGUAAUUAUAUUGUAUUAUAGUGUGUUGUUUUGCAUUCCGAUAUCUUAUUUAGUAAAUUAGUUUGUUUCUCCUCAGAUUGUUGCCGCUGUUCUUUGCUCUCAGGGCCAUCUCCCUACCCUUUUCCCCCUUUCCCCUUUUCCCGGGACGUGGGCCCUUGGGUCCCCUGUCCCCUUCGUCACGGAAUCGGGCCUAACGCCCGUAAACCGUUGACAACACAUAAGACCCCUAUCAUCCUUACUUGCCAGAAAAGUGAAUCAGUAGGAAAAAAAGGCCUUUUUCUUGAUUAGAGACAGGAUAGGGCUGCAUGGAGACAGAUAAGAAGAACACCUCUUCUGGAGACCAUAUCUCCAUAGCAAUUUUGUUUACAUCAAUCUCUGGUUUCAUGGGUAGAGUUGAUCUCUGCACUGAGAAUAGGGUCUACACCCAGGGGUACCGAACUACAUGCUUUAAUGUUCUUCUUACUAUUCUGCAUGUAUGGAAUCCAAUGCACAGCAUGAACAAAUGUGAAUCUCAUAUUUGGAGAAGCAUGUACAGAACCACAAGUUCUCCAGCAUGAUUGAAGUCUGAAGUUAAAAGUGGCAAAAGACAGAUGAAAAUUUACAUGAAAUCUUGGAGAAAUGUAAAGGGAAAGAGCUUUACUGAAGAAACUCAUGAUGAAUAAAAGAAUGAUAACCAUUGUCUAAUUUGAAUCC
rnacentral:lncRNA from 1 species